UAUUAUAUUAAAGGCCUUGCGGCACAAAGCACGUUCAGCAUUUGUUAACAGCGUAUAAUGAUUUAAGGGAAUACAAGAAAAUCACCACAAAGUGGCAAAUCAACUCAGAACUCCCUCAAAAUGUGCACAGGUGUUUGGAAGAUGAUUGUGUUAGGGCAAGCACAUGCAUCCAAAUUUUGGCUGCCAGCAUCAAACCCCAUCACAACUCAUUAAUGAUCCUUCCGCAGGUUCACCUACGGAAA
rnacentral:misc_RNA from 1 species